rnacentral:lncRNA from 1 species
CUUAUGUUUCCCUUACUAUUUUUGCGCAGUAAACCUCAGCAGCACCUGUAUAUACACGGAAAACAGAUACCCAACUUGAUACUGUGUUCCAGAAAUGGAGAGGAAGUUUCCAACUGGAAAAUCAAAAUUCAUAAAUCGAAAAAAAAAAAACAAAAUACAUAACAAAAACGUAAAAAGACGAAAUCAUAAGCAACAGUCUUCAAAGACCCUUCAAAAUACUAUAUAGAAAACAGAAGCCC